rnacentral:rRNA from 1 species
GAUGAACGCUGGCGGCGUGCCUAACACAUGCAAGUCGAGCGAACAGACGAGGCGUUUGCUCCUCUGACGUUAGCGGCGGACGGGUGAGUAACACGUGGAUAACCUACCUAUAAGACUGGGAUAACUUCGGGAAACCGGAUCUAAUACCGGAUAAUAUAUUGAACCGCAUGGUUCAAUAGUGAAAGACGGUUUUGCUGUCACUAAUAGAUGGAUCCGCGCCGCAUUAGCUAGUUGGUAGGGUAACGGCUUACCAAGGCAACGAUGCGUAGCCGACCUGAGAGAGUGAUCGGCCACACUAGAACUGAGACACGGUCCAGACUCCUACGGGAGGCAGCAGUAGGGAAUCUUCCGCAAUGGGCGAAAGCUUGACGGAGCAACGCCGCGUGAGUGAUGAAGGUCUUCGGAUCGUAAAACUCUGUUAUUAGGGAAGAACAGAUGUGUGAGUAACUGUGCACGUCUUGACGGUACCUAAUCAGAAAGCCACGGCUAACUACGUG